rnacentral:lncRNA from 1 species
UACUAGACUUCCCAAAAUUUAGGGAAUUUGCAAAGCUCGUUCAAUCAUCUCAAAGGUAGAACCCAAAUAAUUUUCUGGAUUAAGUAGAGAGGUCACUUCUUCUUUAGAUAAGUAAUUUGUAACUUGGCGCUCAGCAAGUAGAAGUUCAACAAGAGGUUUGUUUUCUUGAAUGCUAAGAUGACAGAGUCUAUAAACUAAAUCAUGGGCCUCAUCUCUACCCAAUUUUGGGGCUAAAGCCAUCAUAACAGCCUCUGAAACAAUCAAUCCAUUAGUAAUUGAAAGAUUCUCAUUCAUACGACUCGGAUGUACUUCCAAGCCUUCUAAAAGAAAAACAGUUUGCUUUAAUGUACCAACAGUAUGUACAAAAACAUCUGGUAGUACAAUCCACUCAAUUUCCCAAGCUCCUGUUGCCCUUUCGUGAUCUUCUACCAUCGCGUCAAGUAAUGCCGCUACUCCUUGUCUUACGAAACUUGUGGACGCGGUGAUGUAAACGCAUGAAAUAGGAUUCCUUUUUUGUGGCAUAGUAGAUGAAGAACCUCUAUUAGCUUUAAAUGGUUCAAAAACCUCAGCAACUUCAGUUUGCAUCAACAGCUUGAUAUCCGUUGCAAACUUAGCAAGCGUUCCUGUGAGCAUCCCCAAGAAGCAACCAGCUUCAGCAAUGCGAUCGCGCUCAGUAUGCCAGGCAAUUUCUGGCUGGAGAAGCCCUAAUUCUUCGGCAAGCUUUUGCUGAACCAUCAACCCUUUAUUUUCUAAAGAUGCAAGAGUUCCACAGGCGCCUCCAAAUUCCAAUACGGACACCCUUGGUAGUAAUUCACAAAGUCUUUGGUGAUGUCUGCGUAAUGUAGCGACAAAUCUUGCCAUUUUAAAUCCAAACGUAAUUGGAACCGCCUGUUGUAGGUUGCUACGACCAGCCAUAGUUGUUUCACGAUGCUUGAUUACAAGAACGGUUGCAAGUUCAAUUGCUUUUUCGAGAUAGCCCUUUAUGAUUUUGAAGCUAUCGAUCAUUUGUCGUACAGUAGCACUGUCCGUCACAUCUUGAGUAGUUGCACCCCAAUGGCAGUAUUUUCCUGAAUCACCGCUACAUAGAUUGGCGAGUUGAUGAACUACUCCAAGAACUGGAUACCCAAUAUUAAUGGUCUCUUCCUCUAGCUUCGAGAAAUCUAUGUUCUCAACUUUACAAACCCUUUGGAUUUCCUCACCAGCAUAUUUCGGAAUUAUGCCUAAUGAUGCUUCUGCCCUUGCUAACGCAGCUUCCCAGUUUAAGUAUUCUUGAGUGCGAUUUUCAUCUGACCAAAUUUUUCGAAUUUCAGCAUCUCCAAAGAUAUUACGAAAUACAAAAGAAUCUGAUACACUAACUGGCAUUUUAUUUAAUUCUUUGGCUAUCAAGCACUAGAAAUGUGCCGGCACAAGAAGGCAUUUUGUUUAUAUACUUGAGACGGCGUAAGCUCCUUUCGUCAUACCUAAACUCUAAGUGUAAUCAUUGUUCAAAAAUUAAUUAACUGUACAAAUCACGCAGUGCCUUAAUAAAGUACUUUAAACAAUAUCUACCUUAGAAUAUUGAGGCAUAACUAUUAAGGAUAUAUAGUAGGUUUAGUGACUGUAGCGCUCGUAUUGAAGAUAGGAAUAAAUUUAGGAACUUUUUGCAAU